CAGUCGCCGCGGGAAUACGUAGGUGGCAAGCGUUGUCCGGAAUUAUUGGGCGUAAAGGGCUCGCAGGCGGUUUCUUAAGUCUGAUGUGAAAGCCCCCGGCUCAACCGGGGAGGGUCAUUGGAAACUGGGAAACUUGAGUGCAGAAGAGGAGAGUGGAAUUCCACGUGUAGCGGUGAAAUGCGUAGAGAUGUGGAGGAACACCAGUGGCGAAGGCGACUCUCUGGUCUGUAACUGACGCUGAGGAGCGAAAGCGUGGGGAGCGAACAGGAUUAGAUACCCGAGUAGUCCCUGUCUCUUAUAC
rnacentral:rRNA from 1 species